rnacentral:rRNA from 1 species
UACGUAGGGUGCGAGCGUUAAUCGGAAUUACUGGGCGUAAAGCGUGCGCAGGCGGUUUUGUAAGCCGGAUGUGAAAUCCCCGGGCUUAACCUGGGAAUGGCAUUCGGGACUGCAAGGCUGGAGUGCGGCAGAGGAGACUGGAAUUCCUGGUGUAGCAGUGAAAUGCGUAGAUAUUGGGAGGAACACCAGUGGCGAAGGCGGCUCACUGGACUGGUACUGACGCUGAGGCGCGAAAGCGUGGGGAGCAAACGGGAUUGAGA